rnacentral:rRNA from 1 species
GAUGAACGCUGGCGGCGUGCCUAAUACAUGCAAGUCGAGCGAACGGACGGGAAGCUUGCUUCUCUGAUGUUAGCGGCGGACGGGUGAGUAACACGUGGAUAACCUACCUAUAAGACUGGGAUAACUUCGGGAAACCGGAGCUAAUACCGGAUGAUAUUUUGAACCGCAUGGUUCAAAAGUGAAAGACGGUCUUGCUGUCACUUAUAGAUGGAUCCGCGCUGCAUUAGCUAGUUGGUAAGGUAACGGCUUACCAAGGCAACGAUGCAUAGCCGACCUGAGAGGGUGAUCGGCCACACUGGAACUGAGACACGGUCCAGACUCCUACGGGAGGCAGCAGUAGGGAAUCUUCCGCAAUGGGCGAAAGCCUGACGGAGCAACGCCGCGUGAGUGAUGAAGGUCUUCGGAUCGUAAAACUCUGUUAUUAGGGAAGAACAUAUGUGCAAGUAACUGUGCACAUCUUGACGGUACCUAAUCAGAAAGCCACGGCUAACUACGUG